rnacentral:tRNA from 1 species
GGGGACGUAGUAUAAUGGCUAGAAGUGUCUUUUAUAGGCACUGUCCAAAAUAGGAGCCUCCAGAGCUUCUGAUCCGAGUUCGAAUCUCGGCGUCCCCA